UUUUAUAUAGUUUUAUUAAAACAUUUUAUUUUCAUUAAAAAAAUGACUUCAAAAAGUCUAUAAAAU
rnacentral:tRNA from 1 species